GACGGGGGGGGCAAGUGUUCUUCGGAAUGACUGGGCGUAAAGGGCACGUAGGCGGUGAAUCGGGUUGAAAGUGAAAGUCGCCAAAAAGUGGCGGAAUGCUCUCGAAACCAAUUCACUUGAGUGAGACAGAGGAGAGUGGAAUUUCGUGUGUAGGGGUGAAAUCCGUAAAUAUACGAAGGAACGCCAAAAGCGAAGGACAGCUCUCUGGGUUCCUAGCCGACGCUGGGGUGCGAAAGCAUGGGGAGCGAACAGG
rnacentral:rRNA from 1 species